rnacentral:rRNA from 1 species
UACGUAGGAGGCAAGCGUUGUCCGGAAUUACUGGGCGUAAAGCGCGUGUAGGUGGUGGGGACAAGUCUGCUGUGAAAGCGCCUGGCUUAACCGGGCGAGGUCGGCGGAAACUGUCCGACUCGAGGACGGUAGAGGGGGGGUGGAAUUCCCGGUGUAGUGGUGAAAUGCGUAGAGAUCGGGAGGAACACCUGUGGCGAAGGCGGCCCCCCUGGGCCCGGCCCUGACACUGAGACGCGAAGGCGUGGGGGAGCGAACGGG